rnacentral:rRNA from 1 species
GACGAACGCUGGCGGCGUGCCUAAUACAUGCAAGUAGAACGCUGAAGAGAGGAGCUUGCUCUUCUUGGAUGAGUUGCGAACGGGUGAGUAACGCGUAGGUAACCUGCCUGGUAGCGGGGGAUAACUAUUGGAAACGAUAGCUAAUACCGCAUAAAAUUGAUUAUUGCAUGAUACUUAAUUGAAAGAUGCAACUGCAUCACUACCAGAUGGACCUGCGUUGUAUUAGGUAGUUGGUGAGGUAACGGCUCACCAAGGCGACGAUACAUAGCCGACCUGAGAGGGUGGACGGCCAAACUGGGAACGGGACACCGCCCAGACUCCUAAGGGAGGCAGCAGUAGGGAAUUAUCGGCAAUGGGGGGAAACCUGACCGAGCAACGCCGGGUGAGUGAAGAAGGUUUUCGGAUCGUAAAGCUCUGUUGUAAGAGAAGAACGGGUGGGAGAGUGGAAAGUUCACACUGUGACGGUAUCUUACCAGAAAGGGACGGCUAACUACGUG